UUUUGGUGUGAGUUGGUGCUCGCAGAGCCCAACUACUCAAGGCCUGGCUUUCAGAGAAUCAGGAAUUCCUUACCGCUUUCGAGAGCCGGGCGCCAAGAUCCUCCCGCCCCUGGCCAGAAGGCUCUUUUCAUUCCUCUGCUGUCUCGCUCUGCUGGAAACUGCCCAGGUUUGUGGCUGGAACUGUUUCUAGAGUGCAUCCUGCCGGAUGAAUGUUCCAGAAUUACCUGGAUGUUCCAGGACAGUGGCUCCACACCUAGAGUUCACAAGCCUCUCUGGUGUCUUGCUGAGACAGACACCUGGAGACACACGAACCCAGGACCACCAGCCCAAGGAUGGCACCACCCACUGUGGGCUGAGCC